rnacentral:tRNA from 1 species
GGUUGGCUCAAGUUGGUAGAGCAUGGUGUUUGCAACGCCAGCAUGGUGUGUGCAACGCCAGGGUUGUGGGUUCGAUUCCCACGGGGGCCA